GAUGAACGCUGGCGGCGUGCCUAAUACAUGCAAGUCGAGCGAACAGACGAGGAGCUUGCUCCUUUGACGUUAGCGGCGGACGGGUGAGUAACACGUGGGUAACCUACCUAUAAGACUGGGAUAACUUCGGGAAACCGGAGCUAAUACCGGAUAAUAUUUCGAACCGCAUGGUUCGAUAGUGAAAGAUGGCUUUGCUAUCACUUAUAGAUGGACCUGCGCCGUAUUAGCUAGUUGGUAAGGUAACGGCUUACCAAGGCAACGAUACGUAGCCGACCUGAGAGGGUGAUCGGCCACACUGGAACUGAGACACGGUCCAGACUCCUACGGGAGGCAGCAGUAGGGAAUAUUCCACAAUGGGCGAAAGCCUGACGGAGCAACGCCGCGUGAGUGAUGAAGGUCUUCGGAUCGUAAAACUCUGUUAUUAGGGAAGAACAAACGUGUAAGUAACUGUGCACGUCUUGACGGUACCUAAUCAGAAAGCCACGGCUAACUACGUG
rnacentral:rRNA from 1 species